GUAGCUCAGUUGGUAGAGUGUUUGCCUAGUGUGCACAAAAUUCUAGGUUUGAUCCCUAGC
rnacentral:tRNA from 1 species